ACCUUCGGGUGUGUAUAAAGUGGCGAACGGCUGAGUAACACGUGGGCAACCUGCCCCUCUCAUUGGGAUAGCCACGGGAAACCGUGGAUAAUACCGAAUACUUCGAGACUUCCGCAUGAAAGACUCGAGGAAGCUCCGGCGGAGAGGGAUGGGCCCGCGGCCUGUUAGCUUGUUGGUGGGGUAACGGCCUACCAAGGCAAUGAUGGGUAGCUGGGUUGAGAGACCGACCAGCCAGAUUGGGACUGAGACACGGCCCAGACUCCUACGGGAGGCAGCAGUGGGGAAUCUUGCACAAUGGGCGAAAGCCUGAUGCAGCGACGCCGCGUGCGGGAUGAAGGCCUUCGGGUUGUAAACCGCUUUCAGCAGGGACGAGGCGAAAGUGACGGUACCUGCAGAAGAAGCCCCGGCUAACUACGUGCCAGCAGCCGCGGUAAUACGUAGGGGGCAAGCGUUAUCCGGAUUCAUUGGGCGUAAAGCGCUCGUAGGCGGUCUGUUAGGUCGGGAGUUAAAUCCGGGGGCUCAACCCCCGUUCGCUCCCGAUACCGGCAGACUUGAGUUUGGUAGGGGAAGGUGGAAUUCCUAGUGUAGCGGUGGAAUGCGCAGAUAUUAGGAAGAACACCAGUGGCGAAGGCGGCCUUCUGGGCCAUAACUGACGCUGAGGAGCGAAAGCUAGGGGAGCAAACAGGAUUAGAUANCCUGGUAGUCCUAGCCGUAAACGAUGGACACUAGGUGUGGGGGAAUAUUUCUUCCGUGCCGCAGCUAACGCAUUAAGUGUCC
rnacentral:rRNA from 1 species